AGGGCACCACCAGGAGUGGAGCCUGCGGCUUAAUUUGACUCAACACGGGAAAACUCACCCGGCCCGGACACUGGAAGGAUUGACAGAUUGAGAGCUCUUUCCUGAUUCAGUGGGUGGUGGUGCAUGGCCGUUCUUAGUUGGUGGAGUGAUUUGUCUGGUUAAUUCCGAUAACGAACGAGACUCUAGCCUAUUAAAUAGAUCGUUGGCUUACAAACGCCGGCGAGACUUCUUAGAGGGACAGGCGGCGAUUCAGCCGCACGAAACAGAGCAAUAACAGGUCUGUGAUGCCCUUAGAUGUCCGGGGCCGCACGCGCGCUACACUGAAGUGAUCAGCGUGCAUUUUGAAACCUACUCUGUCAAGAGUGGGGAACCCAAUGAACCUUCUUCGUGAUUGGGAUAGGGGAUUGUAAUUAUUCCCCUUGAACGAGGAAUUCCCAGUAAGCGCGAAUCAUAAGUUUGCGCUGAUUACGUCCCUGCCCUUUGUACACACCGCCCGUCGCUACUACCGAUUGAAUGUUU
rnacentral:rRNA from 1 species